GGUUCACCUGCACGUUGGCAGCCAGAAGCUCAUCAGUCCCUGGGGGUGGGUGAAGGGUGCUGAACUGGGGGCCGGGGGAACCCAUUCACCUAUACACACCAUCACAUGGGGAGUUCACCUGCAGGGUUCAACAGGCCUAGUUAGGAGAAACUUAGAGAUAGAUUUUCAUGGAGCCUGUGACUCUCUAGAACCUUGGAGAAUUACCUUUGGACCUUAUGCAAAUUGAUAUAAAGCAUUCUAAACAUCCUUCUUAACUCCAUUAGAACUAAGUGAAACCAGUUGGCUUGUUACUGGCUGUGGCCCCAGGUGAUCAGGAAGUUCAGUGUUGAUAUGCCCAGACCCCAUUCAGAACCACUUAGUCCUGAGCCCACUUUCUCCGUGCUUGGUUUGUCACCCAUGGAGAGCAGCUGUGCAUGCUGGAAGCUUGAGGCCCCAGGUGUGGGAUGAGGUGGGGGUGGCAUGUAGCUUUGGCACCUAAGCAUUCUUGACAAAACAGCAGGGAGCUGUCAGGAGUCUUAAGUGCUGAGAGCCUGAUGCUCUGCCUUGGGCUCCUCCCUGGGAAGCACCGAUGUGCACCAGAACUGCCCAGAUGGGGCCACUGCACUGCGACAGGUAAAAAGUGUAUUUCCUACCUUGGUGGUUAGUUAGCAGGUUCUGUAGAUGUCAUUUUGAUGAAUCUAUUAAAAGUUUCCUUAAACGACAUGUGUCUUCCUGAUGGGUCGCCUCCCAUCAAACAGCCAGUUGCCACCCCACAGGCUACUACCGUACAGCGUGCCCCUGAAUGUGACCAUCCACUGACUGUGUCAAAGCCGAACAGUGACCUGGGUGGAUCUUGAGUGCAGGUGUAGCUGGGUUCACAGGCUUUGGGGUAAAUCUCCAUCUUCGGUCUGACACCGCUCCUGAAGCAGAGGUGUCUGUGGCCUCACAGUGGACAGAGUGCAUGUGUCAGGUGCAUGCGUGGGCAAGUGAGGUAAGCAGGUGCCCCGUGCCCAGCUCUGACCCAGCCCCUCUCCUGUGUUUCCUUGGCUCUGCCGCCUUCCCCCCCAGGUGCUGAACACUGGCUCUUCCUCAUGCCCUGGAGCAGUCUCACAUCCUACCCGGUGUUUAUUCGGCGAGAGUCAGCCAUUUUUCAACUUAAUAGCCCUCAGAAGCACAGGCCUGUAGGUGUGGGCGAAGUAUGAGAAGUCAGCAGGACGGUUGGGCCGGCAGGGCCGAGGGGAAAAUGCUCCCGGUGACGAGAGCGCAAGCAUAUGAGGUCCCCCACCACACAUGCCCCUUUUUGUUAAAUCACAUCAAAAGCCUCAACCCUGGCUCAAAAAUAUGGAAACGUGAGCACUGAUGAAGUGACAGUUUAAUAGGUCUUUCUAAGACUUCCAGCAAAUGACUGAAGAUGGGAGGCGCCUGCUGGUCACUCAAUGUAUGGAUGUCCAUGAGGACACGUGGCCAGGGCUCCCAGCCCAUCCUCAGCAGUACAGCAAGAGCGACUCAGAGGAGGCCUUGCACAGGGACGAGUGGACCAUCCAUCCAUUGCCACAAGCAGGGGGAAUGGCACCUUGUAGAGGGACUCCCGUGGGAGCCUGGCAUUCCAAACAGGAAGCACUGACUGAGCUGAAAUGAGGACUUCUCCCAUGUCACUUACACUUCUGAUUUGGGCUUACAGUAGUAUUGAGAUGUAACAGGGAAGCACUCUAGAAAAUCUGGAUAACACAGAACAUGCUGUGUGUCGGUCACCUGUGGUCUCAGUACUGAUUCCUGAAUUUAGGUGGACUUAAGAACGGUGCCCUGUGAGCAGGCAAGCCAUCACCACAGGAGGCCUGUCACAGCCAGGUGCUGCAACCAGGGCAGGGGACUUCUCCUGGGACACCCCACCACCACCUUUUAUGAGCACCUCUCCUGCUUGGGGUCCAUGACUCUCAAGAGCCCCAUGUAAAGUGACUGCUUCAGGGAGAUGUGGCGGGAAGGCAGCAGCAGCAGGAAUGAGAGGGAAUUCUUGACAUUUAGACCCCUGCCCUCACAGCCCCAGCAGCUUCCAUUCUGUCCCUUCAGAGCUGGAUGGUGCCAUGCUGACACCAGCCCUGCCCUGCCCUGCCCAUCCACUAGAGGGACCUGUGGAGCCCCUGGUGGGACAUGAAGGAAAUGCCGUAGGUCACUCCCAGGCCCGAUCUCAUUCAGAAAAACAAAACCUUUUCAUGUUUGCUCCCGCCCUACUCCUCUCCUACUGCCCACUUGGACCGUGACUGGCACCCUCCACACCCCUGCCAGUCAUUCCAGUGACCCCCAGGGAAAGUGUGCUUUCUCUCCACUGGGCCCUCAUGUGCUGUCCCCUCUUCCCAGGGGCCCCUUUGACAACCUCUGUUUCCUGGUCUCUGGGACUCCCUGUUUAACAAAACCAGGGCAACAGGCCUGCCCAUGAGGCCACGCUCCUCCAGGGCAUCAGCACUGAUGGGCUGACCACAGGGACCUCCACCGCUGGGCCUGAUUGGCCUCCGCACUGUGGGCCCAGCUGGGCGCUGACCACAGAGCAAGCCCAGUGAAAGCAGUUCCUCAGGUGAAAAAGGCCAGCAGUUGAGAGUGGUCAGCAACAUGGCCUUCCUGUAGGCGGGUGUUGGAAGAAACAGGAAGUCAUGUUCCUGCUCCCUAAAGGCCCCCUGAGGAGGAAUGGCUUCCAAUUGAUCCAAGCUGCUUUGCAUGGCAGGUGGGUGUGUGUGCCCAAGAGUCGUGGUCCUUGUGAGCUCCCGCUGACCACAGACCUGUAACAGCCCCAGAAACAAACUCACAGAUGGUGGUAAAGUUCAUAAAGAAACAGAAGGUGCAUGUGGAGCACGGGGGCAAAGCGGGCAGACACAUCACCUUUGCCAAGAAGUAGCAUUUGUGCUUCAACCAGAAAACCAGGCACCCGUGGGAGACAGGCACCCUAUGCCAGGAAGGGGCCUGGGUGGGACACAGUGUAAGACAGCACAUGCCGUGAGGGGUGGGACAUUGUGGCUGGGGCCAGAGGAGGAGCGGAGAGCCCAGGUGCAAUGGCCUGGCCCAUGUCAGAAUGAGUGCAGUGUUCACUUGCAGGCCCAGGUUGUGGCAUCUGGGGUGGCCUUGCUCAUGGGCCUGGCUGCUCUGCUUUAUGGUUAAAAUGGAGAGUUGGGAUCAUCUGGGAGAGGGUCUGGGGGUGGACAGGUUGGUAAGUUACCCUGGUGGAGCUGUUCCUUGCAGGAAGCAGGUCUCUGCAGCCCACCAGUUUUGUUGUGAGUGUUCUGGUUGCCUCUGACCAUCACUGGGAGUCUGGGAGUCAGGGAUUAACUGAAAACCCAGUAACUCCUAGAUAAUUCUUGGAAAUUCGUU
rnacentral:lncRNA from 1 species